CCCAGUCCUCUAUUUAAUGAACUGAUGAAUAAGACACCUAUUGAAGAUCAACUGUUUACCCCUGAAUUGACUUUCAAAGACCAUGCAUUGUCCAGAUUGGCAUCUGAUGACUUCCUGGAAUAUUUAAUUAUUUUCUAUUAAAUAUAUGUUUAUUUUUAACAGAUUCUAAUAUAUAUCAAUAUAAUCUGUAAAUAAAUCAAACUUGGACUCCCAUGA